GACUUUAUUUUUCUCCUUAGGGCUUUUGCAAAUCCUUUGAAUUUUCACAACCUUAGUCCCUUUUACUUUUGGUUUACUUUUGUUCACUUAUUAAUCAAAAUUAAUUCAAAUAAAAAUAAAAUAAUUAAUUAGGGGAAGUAAAAUAAAUUCAUCAAAUAAAAAAAUAAAAUAAAUAAUUAGGGAGAGAAGUAAUAAAAAAAGAAGAGAAACUAUGAACACUAAGCAUUACUAUUCUUUACUAACAAAAGCUAUGCAAAACAAAAUAAUUAUGGAAAAAUCCCUCCUCUACACUUAAGUAACGAGGGAGAAAUAAGUUCAUUCUUCCUCAAAAAAUAAAAAAUAAAGUUAAUGAUACUUGAAUAAUGCAAAGAUAAUGAUGAUCCAAAGGAUGAAAAACGGUUGGUGUAUUUAGUUUAGUCUCUUAGUUUAGUUUUAAUCAAAAUAAAUCUCUUUACUUAGAAAAAAAACUUGAUUUUUAUUUGGGCAUGGCAUGUUUAGUCUCCUUAAAUUUAUCCAAAAAAAAUUAAUUCAAAAUAGUUUAGUUUGGUUUACUUUUGGUCUACUUAUUAAUCAAAAUAAAUUCAUGAAAUAAAAAAAUAAAAUAAUCAAAUUAGGGAGAGAAAAAACCAGAUUAAUCAAAAUAAAAAUAAAGAGAAACUAUCAUAAUAAUUGAAACAAAAAAAAUAAUUAUGGGAGAAAUAAGUGAAUUCAUGAUAAGUUCCAAAAAAAAAAUUAAUGAUCUUUAAUAAUCCAAACCAAACGAGAUAAUGACGGUGAUCUAUGGUCUAUUUAGUCUAGUCUCUUAGUUUAGUUUGUUUUUCCCUCUUCUUUAAUCAAAAUAAAUCUAUCCAUUCUAAACAAACAAACUAGAAAACUUGAGUUUAAUGUUAUGUUUAGUCCCCUUUACUUUGGGUUUACAUUUGUUGACUUAUUAAUCAAAAAUAAAUUCAUCAAAAAAUAAAAUAAAAUAUUAAUUGGGAGAGAAAAAUAAAUUCAUCAAAUAAAAAAAUAAAAAAGUAAUUAGGGAGAGAAGUAAUCAAAAUAAAGACCAUUACUCUUCUUUACUUACACUUAAUAAAACUAUGCAUAUAAUUCGAUCAACAUCAAAUAAAUUCUUCAAACAAAACAAAAUAAUUAUAGGAUUUUCAUAAUGGCAAUGGUCUAUGUAACUUACCUUGACCAAUGAGCAAGCCCCACAUAGCUAACCCUCAACUAACCCUCAGGAGAAUAAGUUCCUCAAAAUAAAAAAUAAAAAAGUUAACCAUACAAAUUAUGAAUAAUGCAAAGGAUGAAAAGAGGAUGAAAAACCUUUAGUUUUGUCUAUUGUUUAAUCAAAAUAAAUCUUUACUUUACUUGAGUUUUAUUGGAAGGCUCUACUUAGAACAUUGGGGACAUCUCCUUAAAUUUACCAAAAAAAAUUAAUUAGGAGAGAAGUAAAAUAAAUUCAUCAAAAUAAAAAGAUAGAAUAACUAAAAUAACUAAUUAUGGAGAGAAGUAAACAAGAACAAAAAAAAUGUAGUAACUAUUUUGAAUUAAUUUUUUGGUCUCCCAUACCUAUUCCCAUUCCAAUGCCCAUAACCAUGCCCAGGAGAGAGAGGAAGAAAAGAACAGAAAAGAAAAGAGAAAGAAAAGAAGAAAGGUUGAAAAGUGAGAGGAGAGUUUAUAAUCUAAUUUGAUUUAUUUUUUAAAAUCGGAUUAUUAUUUUUUUCUAAAUUCAUUAUUAAUUUUCUUAUUUUUU
rnacentral:lncRNA from 1 species